AGCCUGCCCAGUGACCAAGUUAAACGGCCGCGGUACCCUAACCGUGCGAAGGUAGCGCAAUCACUUGUUCUUUAAAUAAGGACUAGUAUGAACGGCAUCACGAGGAUUAUACUGUCUCCCUUUUCCAAUCAGUGAAACUGAUCCCCCCGUGAAGAAGCGGGGAUACACUUAUAAGACGAGAAGACCCCAUGGAGCUUUAAACUCAAUAACAACUGCCUUACACAUACCAAAAUAAUUAGGCAAAAAUGAUUAUUAGUUUUCGGUUGGGGUGACCACGGAGCAAAACAAAACCUCCAUGAUGAAAAGAACAUCAUUCUUUAUUUAAGAGUAACUACUCUAAAAAUCAAUAAAUUGACAUUCCUUGAUCCAAACUUUUUGAUCAACGAACUAAGUUACCCUGGGGAUAACAGCGCAAUCCAUUUCAAGAGCUCCUAUCGACAAAUGGGUUUACGACCUCGAUGUUGGAUCAGGGUAUCCCAGUGGUGCAGCCGCUACUAAUGGUUCGUUUGUUCAACGAUUAAAACCCU
rnacentral:rRNA from 1 species